AGCAGCCGCGGUAAUUCCAGCUCCAAUAGCGUAUAUUAAAGUUGUUGCAGUUAAAAAGCUCGUAGUUGAAUUUUAGGCCUGGCCAGGCGGUCCGUCUUUGGCGAGUACUGUCUUGUGUCGGGUCUUCCUUCUGGUGAACCAGUAUGUCCUUUAUUGGGUGUGCCGGGGAGCCAGGACCAUUACCUUGAAAAAAUUAGAGUGUUUAAAGCGGGCUUUUGCUUGAAUAGAUUAGCAUGGAAUAAUAGAAUAGGACGUUGUGGUUCUAUUUUGUUGGUUUCUAGGACCACCGUAAUGAUUAAUAGGGAUAGUUGGGGGCAUUAGUAUUCAAUUGUCAGAGGUGAAAUUCUUGGAUUUAUUGAAGACUAACUACUGCGAAAGCAUUUGCCAAGGAUGUUUUCAUUAAUCAAGAACGAAAGUUAGGGGAUCGAAGACGAUCAGAUACCGUCGUAGUCUUAACCAUAAACUAUGCCGACUAGGAAUCGGGCGACGUUAUUUUCAUGACUCGCUCGGCGCCUUAUGG
rnacentral:rRNA from 1 species